UGGGGAUCAUAUUCUUGUUGAAGUGUUUCUACACUAAAAAUAAAAAUCUGUCUCAUCCUAAAUCAGUAAUGAACAAAUAAACUUUGUUCAAAUUUCAUUCCCUCUUUUUUAUUUCUCUCCCAUUUCUCAAUUCUCACAUUUAACAAGAAAACCCAAUCAAGUACCAAUAAUGCAAGGUGAUAAAACACAUAUUUUCAUUGUCAAAUCAUUAUCAUGCC
rnacentral:lncRNA from 1 species